rnacentral:tRNA from 1 species
GACCUCGUAGCUUAAUGGAUAGAGCAACAGCUUGCGGAGCUGUAGGUUGGUGGUUCGAGUCCACUCGAGGUCGCCA